ensembl:snRNA U6 U6 spliceosomal RNA
AUGCUCACUUCCGCAGCACAUAUACUAAAAUUGGAACGAUACAGAGAUUAGUAGGACACCAGGGAUGACACAAAUUCAUGAAGCCUUCCAGAGUUUU